rnacentral:rRNA from 1 species
UACGAGGGGGGCAAAUGUUGUUCGGAAUCACUGGGCGUAAAGGGAGCGUAGGCGGUUUUUUAAGUUAGGUGUUUAAUCCCGGGGCCCAACCCCGGACAGGCACCUAAAACUGGAAAACUUGAAUAGGGGAGAGGUCGGUGGAAUUGGAGGUGUAGCGGUGGAAUGCGUAGAGAUCUCCAAGAACACCAGUUGCGAAGGCGGCCGACUGGACCCAUAUUGACGCUGAGGCUCGAAAGCACGGGGAGCAAACAGG